rnacentral:rRNA from 1 species
UCUACGGGAGGCUGCAGUGAGGAAUAUUGCACAAUGGACGAGAGCCUGAUCCAGCAACGCCGCGUGAGCGAUGAAGGCCUUAGGGUCGUAAAGCUCUGUCCUCAAGGGAGAUAAUGGCGGUACGUGAGGAGGAAGCCACGGCUAACUACGUGCCAGCAGCCGCGGUAAUACGUAGGGGGCUAGCGUUAUCCGGAAUUACUGGGCGUAAAGGGGUGGUAGGUGGUUUCUUAAGUCAGAGGUGAAAGGUUACGGCUCAACGGUAGUAAGCCAUUGAUAAUGGCGAACUUGAGUGCAGGUGAGGAGAGUGGAAUUCGUGGUGUAGCGGUGAAAUGCGUAGAUAUUAGGAGGAACCCCAGUUGCGAAGGCGGCUUUCUGAACUGUAACUGACACUGAGGCACGAAAGUGUGGGGAGCAAACAGGAUUAGAUACCCUUGUAGUC